CCUACGGGUGGCUGCAGUCAAGAACCUUCCACAAUGGACGAAAGUCUGAUGGAGCGACGCCGCGUGAUGGAUGAAGUCCUCUGGGACGUAAACAUCUUUUGUCGAGGAGAUAGUACUCGAAGAAUAAGGGGUUGCUAAACUCGUGCCAGCAGCAGCGGUAAUACGAGUGCCCCAAGCGUUAUCCGGAAUCAUUGGGCGUAAAGGGUGUGUAGGUGGCGAUGUUAGUCUCUUGUCAAAGCCCCGGGCUUAACCCGGGAUCUGCAGGGGAAACGGCAUUGCUCGAGGAUGCGAGGGGUGAAUGGAACUCAUGGAGUAGGGGUGAAAUCCGUUGAUAUCAUGGGGAACACCAAAAGCGAAGGCAAUUCACUGGCGCAUCCUGACACUGAAACACGAAAGCGUGGGUAGCGAACUGGAUUAGAUACCCUUGUAGUC
rnacentral:rRNA from 1 species